rnacentral:rRNA from 1 species
UACGUAGGGACCAAGCGUUGUCCGGAAUUAUUGGGCGUAAAGAGCUCGUAGGCGGUUUGUUGCGUCGGCUGUGAAAUCCCGAGGCUCAACCUCGGGUCUGCAGUCGAUACGAGCAAACUAGAGUGUUGCAGGGGAGACUGGAAUUCCUGGUGUAGCGGUGAAAUGCGCAGAUAUCAGGAGGAACACCGGUGGCGAAGGCGGGUCUCUGGGCAACAACUGACGCUGAGGAGCGAAAGCGUGGGGAGCGAACAGG